GAGUUUGAUCCUGGCUCAGAAUGAACGCUGGCGGCGUGCCUAACACAUGCAAGUCGAGCGCGAAAGGGGCUUCGGCCCUGAGUAGAGCGGCGAACGGGUGAGUAACACGUGGGUAACCUGCCUGGGAGUGGGGGAUAACCUGGGGAAACUCGGGCUAAUACCGCAUACGUUCACGGGGCUUCGGCUCCGUGAGGAAAGCCGGCCUAUGCUUGCAAGCUGGCGCUCCCAGAGGGGCCCGCGGCCGAUUAGCUAGUUGGUGGGGUAACGGCUCACCAAGGCAACGAUCGGUAGCCGGCCUGAGAGGGUGUUCGGCCACACUGGAACUGAGACACGGUCCAGACUCCUACGGGAGGCAGCAGUGGGGAAUAUUGGACAAUGGGCGAAAGCCUGAUCCAGCAACGCCGCGUGGAGGAAGAAGGCCUUCGGGUCGUAAACUCCUGUCAGGUGGGAGGAAAAGGUGCUGGCGAACAACCAGCAUUCUUGACAGUACCACCAGAGGAAGCCCCGGCUAACUCCGUGCCAGCAGCCGCGGUAAUACGGAGG
rnacentral:rRNA from 1 species